AUACCUACGACAACCUCUCCUCUCCCUCCCACCCCACCGCGCGGGAAGACUUAGCCGCCCCCUUGAGCGACUCAUCCGGAAGACCGCGGGUUCUGUUCGCGGGAGAGGCGACAGAAACGAACCACUUCUCGACGGUACACGGGGCCGUUGGUUCUGGGGAGAGGGAGGCGGCGAGACUGCUGCCGAGCAGUAAGAUUUAAUUUGCUGGGGUGUGUGUUUGCAUAGGGGUCACUUAAAAAUUGGCGAUUGAGAAAAUUGAGAUUUUAGACGACAAAUAAAUGGACUCAUGCCCGUUUUCACCAUCAAUCCCUAAUUUUUAAGUGACCCCUAUGGUAGGUAACACAUAACAGGAUUGUUUUCAUAGGGGUCACUUAAAAAUUAGGGAUUGUCAUGCCCGUUUUCACCAUCAAUCCCUAAUUUUUAAGUGACCCCUAUGGUAGGUAACACAUAACAGGAAUUUUGUUUUCAUAGGGGUCACUUAAAAAUUAGGGAUUGUCAUGCCCGUUUUCACCAUCAAUCCCUAAUUUUUAAGUGACCCCUAUAGUAGGUAACACAUAACAGGAAUUUUGUUUUCAUAGGGGUCACUUAAAAAUUAGGGAUUGUCAUGCCCGUUUUCACCAUCAAUCCCUAAUUUUUAAGUUACCCCUAUGGUAGGUAACACAUAACAGGAAUUUUGUUUUCAUAGGGGUCACUUAAAAAUUAGGGAUUGUCAUGCCCGUUUUCACCAUCAAUCCCUAAUUUUUAAGUGACCCCUAUGGUAGGUAACACAUAACAGGAAUUUUGUUUUCAUAGGGGUCACUUAAAAAUUAGGGAUUGUCAUGCCCGUUUUCACCAUCAACCCCUAAUUUUUAAGUGACCCCUAUGGUAGGUAACACAUAACAGGAAUUUUGUUUUCAUAGGGGUCACUUAAAAAUUAGGGAUUGUCAUGCCCGUUUUCACCAUCAAUCCCUAAUUUUUAAGUGACCCCUAUGUAAACAAAAUUCCUGUUAUUUGUUACCAUAGGGGUCACUUAAAAAUUGUCGAUUGAGAAAAUUGAGAUUUUAGACGACAAAUAAAUGGACUCAUGCCCGUUUUCACCAUCAAUCCCUAAUUUUUAAGUGACCCCUAUGGUAGGUAACACAUAACAGGAAUUUUGUUUUCAUAGGGGUCACUUAAAAAUUAGGGAUUGUCAUGCCCGUUUUCACCAUCAAUCCCUAAUUUUUAAGUGACCCCUAUGGUAGGUAACACAUAACAGGAAUUUUGUUUUCAUAGGGGUCACUUAAAAAUUAGGGAUUG